GUACUGCUGAGGAGUCCCAAAUUAGAACGAAACAUCCGUCUAGUAC
rfam:Trichobilharzia regenti genome assembly, scaffold: TRE_scaffold0000240